rnacentral:rRNA from 1 species
AUGUUUGCGCUCAAACUGGACUUCCAAAAGGCGUUUGAUAGCGUGAGUUGGGAUGCCCUCCGGAAGGUUAUGGUUGCUAGAGGAUUCGGGCCCAGGUGGAUAACAUGGAUCAGUGACAUGCUUACUUCCAGCUCCUCCCGCAUUCUCAUCAACGGCAGGCUAGGGCCGAAGAUCACCUCCAAGAGUGGCUUGAGGCAAGGAGAUGCCCUUUCCCCCUACCUUUUCCUCCUGGUAGCUGACGUUUUACAACAGUUGUGCAACCUGGAGUUCAGAAGGGGGAAUCUAUGCCACCCUCUUGGGGCUAAUGAGCACCCCCCCUAUCCUACAAUACGCCGAUGA